rnacentral:rRNA from 1 species
GAUGAACGCUAGCGGCAGGCUUAACACAUGCAAGUCGAGGGGUAACAGGGGAGCUUGCUCCCGCUGACGACCGGCGGACGGGUGCGUAACGCGUAUGCAACCUACCCAUAACAGGGGGAUAGCCCAGAGAAAUUUGGAUUAAUACCUCAUAAUACUAUUUAGUUGCAUGAUUGAAUAGUUAAAGAUUUAUCGGUUAUGGAUGGGCAUGCGUGCCAUUAGUUAGUUGGUAAGGUAACGGCUUACCAAGGCAACGAUGGCUACGGGGUCUGAAAGGAUGGUCCCGCACACUGGGUACUGAGACACGGACCAGACUCCCUACGGGAGCAGCAGUGAGGAAUAUUGGUCAAGGGUAGAGCCUGAACCAGCCAUGCCGCGUGCAGGAAGACUGCCUAUGGUUGUAAACUGCUUUUUAUAUAGGAAUAAAAAUACGUGUAGGUU